UAGGGAAUCUUCGGCAAUGGACGCAAGUCUGACCGAGCAACGCCGCGUGAGUGAAGAAGGUUUUCGGAUCGUAAAACUCUGUUGUUAGAGAAGAACAAGGAUGAGAGUAGAAUGUUCAUCCCUUGACGGUAUCUAACCAGAAAGCCACGGCUAACUACGUGCCAGCAGCCGCGGUAAUACGUAGGUGGCAAGCGUUGUCCGGAUUUAUUGGGCGUAAAGCGAGCGCAGGCGGUUUCUUAAGUCUGAUGUGAAAGCCCCCGGCUCAACCGGGGAGGGUCAUUGGAAACUGGGGAACUUGAGUGCAGAAGAGGAGAGUGGAAUUCCAUGUGUAGCGGUGAAAUGCGUAGAUAUAUGGAGGAACACCAGUGGCGAAGGCGGCUCUCUGGUCUGUAACUGACGCUGAGGCUCGAAAGCGUGGGGAGCAAACAGG
rnacentral:rRNA from 1 species